AGAGAACGCUGGCGGUAGGCCUAACACAUGCAAGUCGAACGGCAGCACAGUAAGAGCUUGCUCUUACGGGUGGCGAGUGGCGGACGGGUGAGGAAUACAUCGGAAUCUACUUUUUCGUGGGGGAUAACGUAGGGAAACUUACGCUCAUACCGCAUACGACCUACGGGUGAAAGCAGGGGAUCUUCGGACCUUGCGCGAUUGAAUGAGCCGAUGUCGGAUUAGCUAGUUGGCGGGGUAAAGGCCCACCAAGGCGACGAUCCGUAGCUGGUCUGAGAGGAUGAUCAGCCACACUGGAACGGAGACACGGUCCAGACUCCUACGGGAGGCAGCAGUGGGGAAUAUUGGACAAUGGGCGCAAGCCUGAUCCAGCCAUACCGCGUGGGUGAAGAAGGCCUUCGGGUUGUAAAGCCCUUUUGUUGGGAAAGAAAAGCAGCAGGUUAAUACCCCGCUGUUCUGACGGUACCCAAAGAAUAAGCACCGGCUAACCUCGUG
rnacentral:rRNA from 1 species